UAUAAGUGAAGCUUCUCUAUGGGUCUCUUCUCUCCUUAGCCAUCUCUAUCCUUUGUCAACUUCUAGUUAUUCUCGCUUUUUAUGUUACCGUCGAAUUUUUCUCCGGUUGUAAUCGUAGAUGGCUUUGCAUUGUUUCUAAGAAUCGUAAACUGGAGUCUCUUUCUCUAUCUCUCUCUCUCUCUCUCGAACUCAUCGUCUCUUCAUCUCCAUAUCUCCUCCGUCGUGCUUGCCGGGGUUACGAUUUUGUAAUGAUUUAUGGGUAAGAGGAAGCGGAGCACGACAAAGUUUUGCGGCGAAUUUACAAAAGAGGAAUCUGCUGGCUAAUGUUCAAAAGGCCUCUACGGUGGCUUAGAAUGCUCAUCUAAGAGCUUCAUUUGAGCUUCUUCUUCGGUGUAAUUGUCGUCUACGGCGUUAGCCAAGGUCUCAGUAAAGGUUUGGGGUCUGUUGACUGAUGUUGUAACGGUUUUUGGUUACAGGGGACGACCCCCUAUUUCAUAUUUCCUGGGGAAUGAUUUUACUCCUUUUGGAGGUGAUUUGAUGGGAGAGUUGAGGAUGCACUUUUGAUGUCUCUCAUGAUGAAGUGCAGUAACAAGAAAUAGAGGUUUGCUUUACAGGAUAAACCACAAGAACUACUUGAAAAACGGCCGUGUAGUUACGUCUCCUGCGGUCAACAUCACGGAGACCGAUUGAAUAACUGCAGAUGGAGAUGUGAUUGGAUAUGAUUAUCUAGUGAUAGCUACUGGUCACAACGACCUGUUCCCCAAAACCAGACAAGAAAAUCUCUCACAGUACCAAACAGAAUAUGAGAAGAUCAGAUCUUCUAAAUCAGUUCUGAUUGUUGGUGGAGGACCUUCUGGUGUGGAACUAGCUGCAGAAAUCUCUGUUCAGCUUCAGACGGAAACAAAACAUACCGGACUUCAGGAGGAGAGACUAUACACGCAGGUUGUUGUUGGGGGUGGAUUUACAUCCUUCCUCAAGGCCCAUUAGACAAUGUACUAGGCCCAUUUGGCUAGAAAAUCCUAGACAUAUCUUUUUAUAAAUAAGGAGCUCCUCCUUAUGAGAAAAGUGGAUCCUCUCCAUUUUACACUAAGAACACAUCUUGUAAAGAGUUUAUGGAUUAUUAGAUUUACUUUACACUAGUAAUCAUACUUGUAAUACAAUCUUUGAUCAAUAAACUCUUUUAUUAUCA